GCGCCAACUCCGAGUGACAACACCACGCGUGGACAGCGAUAAACGAAAUUCGUCAAUUUUAUUUGAAAAAACAAAGAUGGUAAAUAAAUAUAAAAGAAAAUCACAACAAGGUUCUUGGAGUGAAGCUGUAAUACUUCAGCUCAAAAGCUUCAAAAUACUAGAAGAUAAUGAUUCAAGACUGCAUUAUUCAAAGAGAGUUCCUUCUGAUUAGUUUUAUGUUUUAAUUUUUAUGUUGUUUGAUGAAUUUUUAUGUCUAGAAUCUAUUUUUUCGCAAUAAAGAAAGUAUGAUUCUCA